rnacentral:rRNA from 1 species
ACUUUGAAGAGAGAGUUCAAAAGGGCGUGAAACCGCUUAGAAUAAAACGGACGGAGCCGUCUGAGGCCCAUCGGAAUCAGUCGAGUCGAUGCGCGAAAACGAGUGCGACGCGUAUACGGAACGCAAGUCCCGUCGUCUCGUGCUAGCGUUCGUUCGACGCAUUUCCGGAGGGUAAGCGCCGCGACCGAUGUCGAAGGCUGGCGAAGCCGGUAGAUUGAGGGCGAGCGCGUUUACGCGCGUCUCGUAACCAGUCCGGCGGUCGUCGCUAGACCCGAGCAUCGAGAGCUUACGAAUAGAACGCCGGUGAUCAUUUACGCUCGCCUAUCGCGACGGAAGUGCGACCGAUCGAUCGUCGCCUGCUCGCAGGUUACGGUUAGUAUCCGGUUCGUAUCCAAAGUCGUCGGCGACGUUUCGGCGUUUAGGCGUCCGCGGCGUCCGAGUCGGUCACCCGUCCGACCCGUCUUGAAACACGGACCAAGGAGUCUAACGUAAGCGCGAGCUAAUGGGUGGAAAACCUAUAAGCGCAAUAAAAGUAAAAGCCGUUUCGGACGGCCGAGGUACGAUCCCGGGGAUCGAUAUAUCCCUGGGCGCAGUACCGUCCCGUCCCGACCGCUCGUCGGUAGGGCGGAGAUAGAGUGCCUACGUUGGGACCCGAAAGAUGGUGAACUAUGCCUGAGCAGAGCGAAGCCAGAGGAAACUCUGGUGGAGGUUCGUAGCGGUUCUGACGUGCAAAUCGAUCGUCAGACUUGGGUAUAGGGGCGAAA